rfam:Gossypium arboreum cultivar AKA8401 contig_14796_11, whole genome shotgun sequence.
AUCCCAUGAUGAGGACACUUACGAAGUAACUCUUUGAACUGCUCCCAAGCCUCAUACAAAGAUUUGUCGUCCAAUUCUUGGAAAGUUGUGAUCUCGUUCCUCAAUUU